rnacentral:rRNA from 1 species
AGUGAUCCUACGGGAGGCAGCAGUGGGGAAUAUUGCACAAUGGGCGAAAGCCUGAUGCAGCAACGCCGCGUGAGCGAUGAAGGCCUUCGGGUCGUAAAGCUCUGUCUUCAAGGAAGAUAAUGACGGUACUUGAGGAGGAAGCCCCGGCUAACUACGUG